AACACCUCAAAACUCUUGAUCUUUUUCAAGCGUUUUGGACUUGAGCAAACCCAACGCCUUUUCUUUUAAGAUCUGUUGCGGCGGGUUGCUUGAAAUGCAGGUGCAGCUGGACAAUCUCCUGAGCUAAAAGCAUAUUUAUUUAGUCCCGUCAAACGGAUUAUUACUUUUUGCUGCAGCUAACAUAAAGGGAGUUUUGACCAUUAUGGCUGACUGAUGCAGGAUUUCACAGAGAAAAGGCCGGCAACGGUUUUGUCUCUGUCAA
rnacentral:misc_RNA from 2 species